AAAGUAAGUUGCUUCUGAAAUCAGACAAAAAAAAAGUUGCUUCUGUUCUGAAAGACUGCUGCUGAGCUCGGAAUCUGCUCCGUCACUUCGUGAUCAUCAUAAUUAGGGUUUUCUUUGUAAUACUUGAGAAUCUAGAUUCAGAUUGUUGUCAAAUUGGUGGAUUACGUUGUGGUUACUUAUGGACGGAGAGGAGUUAACCGAGCAGGAGACUGCAUUGUACGACCGCCAAAUUAGGGUUUGGGGUGCUGACGCUCAACGAAGAUUGAGCAAAUCUCACAUAUUAGUCUUACGGGAUGAAAGGAACUGUUGCCGAGUUUUGCAAGAACAUUGUAUUAG
rnacentral:misc_RNA from 1 species